CAGAACUCCAGGUCAAUUAUCAUGAUGACAGACAGGUGGGGUCUGGAGCUGCUCUUCAGCCAGGCAUCAUCAACAUCUACACAAACCUUCUCCCCACACUAAAAGAUAGCACAUCACCACCGCAAGUCAAAUGCUUGAACAGAAGAAAGAAGUGUGUGGUGUACUGAAGAAAGCAGAAUCUUAACCGAAGAUGAAAUGAAACCAGACAGAAUAUGGAAAAAAAACUGAAGUGAAAUACAGACAAGUGACAAAUUAAAAGCAAGACCCAAAUAAAUACCAGUCUUCCCAAAGAUAUUCCUUCCCUCCCUUGGUGUUUUGAUGAUGUUUGAGGUUUUAAAUCAGGUAUUCAAAUGGCUCAGUGGACUGUGGAGGCCAUUGCAUAUGAUUCACAUCGUUUUCAUCAGACCAUUCAGUGACCUCUCGUGCUCAGUGGAUGGGGUCAUUGUCAUCCUGAAAGAGAUCCCUCAGGUUACGCCCGGUGGGAGUGGCUAGAUGCACCUGUGGCUCCUUACAAUCAGCAAGGAUGGUUAAAUGAUGAGCCAACUUGAGCAUUGUGGCCAGUGGGCCGAAUCAGCUGCCAGAGUGUGGUGUUGUUGUCUUGCGUUCUGCUUAAGGACUAGUCUCUGCUGGCUAAAGAGCUGGGUAGAGUGACCAGCUUUGCACUUAUGAGGUGUGCUUUUGUGUCGGAAUCGUCUUUUUAGAUAAAUAAAUGUUCUUUUGUUGAUGUUACCCAAUCAGUUUUCGUGCCUCUGUAUCUGUUUCUUCUUUAUAUUCGUUACUCCCCUCAUCCCCUAGUUCUCGGGGACAUAACAUGGACAGUGGACAUGAAAAGACUUCUGUGGGUCUCAGACAAUGAAUCCUCAAGACUUUAGUAAUGCUUUAAUUUUUCCUC
ensembl:lncRNA